UAGAAGGGUCCAGCGGGGCAGAUAUUUUUCCUGCCACCGAAUACAUUAGCAUGGGAUAAUGGAAUAGGACCCUGACCUCCUAUUUUCAGUUGGUUUUGUUUACAGCGAGGUUAUAUCAGGGUAAUGAUUAAUAGGGAUAGUUGGGGGCAUUAAUAUUUAAUUGUCAGAGGUGAAAUUCUUGGAUUUAUGAAAGAUUAACUUCUGCGAAAGCGUUUGCCAAGGAUGUUUUCAUUAAUCAAGAACGAAAGUUAGGGGAUCGAAGACGAUCAGAUACCGUCGUAGUCUUAACCAUAAACGAUGCCGACCAGCGAUUAGGAGACGUUGAAUACAAAACACCGCUGUUAAUCCUUUCGGGGGUUAAUAGUUGGUGAAUGACUCCCUAGCAGCCUUUGUGAGAA
rnacentral:rRNA from 1 species